GAGAAAUCUCAGGGCGAGAAAGAACUCGUAGGCUCAGAUUUACCAUCUGAAGAUCUUUAGUACCGGAAACAGACGAGAAAGUGUGUGGUCUCGUACGAAUAUCAAAUAUAAAGGGCUUUUGAAGCCAUGGAAUCAAGAAAUGUGUUCCUUCCCCAACAGUUUCGUCAAUUACACCCCGAAACCGAUCAAAGAGGACAGCUCUUUCAC
rnacentral:misc_RNA from 1 species